rnacentral:lncRNA from 1 species
CUUUGAGCAUUGCCUGCUUCUUAUUGAUGGCUGCAGUUGGACCUGAAAGCUUAGGCUUUUUCACUGCAGACUCAUCUGAAGAUUUAACCUCACCAGGAGGUCUUUUAUUUGACAGAGAAGAAGAUUUGCCAACAGGACCAUCCCUCAAGGCAGAACCAUUUUGUUGAACUUUAGCUGGUAAUGUCUUCUUUUCACCCGGGUUUCUUGUCUUGCUUAUAGAUUCAACUAACUUAGACUUUGAUGAAUACCUAGAUGAUAGAGGUUUUUCGUCAUCUGAAUCUUCAUCUUCUUCGACCCCUGGCUUCUGAACCAAACUGGAACCAUCACCGUCUUUAUUACCAUGGUUAACAAUUGCCCUGGAUGACCCACUGGGAAGCUUAGCCAUCAAUGGUUUGUCAUCAUCAGAAUCCACAGGGGUGCUACUCGGUUUAGCAG